UCUGUGUCAGGUUGAGCCCUUCAAGUGCCCUGCCUGCACACCAGACAUGCUUGCCAUAGCUGCAGAUGGUAACAGAAAGCAGUACCGCUUCAAGAAAUCCAAAGGGACAGAUGAACAAUCUCUUUUUGAUGGCCUGUUCAUUGCACAAGAUGCCCAAGUGUCUGCCUUUGUGGAUCAGACAAGAAGCCAGAUGACGAUUAGAACUGGUCAUGAUGUAUGUGGGCCGGCAACUUUUACUGCAGGGCGAGAAACCUCCCAGA